ensembl:snoRNA small nucleolar RNA, C/D box 92
UUGCUGUGAUGAGACUUCCAAUUGUGGUUUCGACUGGCUGACAGUUGAAUGAGGACAUGAUAUUCCUUGGCUGUGUCUGAGCGC